rnacentral:rRNA from 1 species
AACGUAGGUGGCAAGCGUUAUCCGGAUUCACUGGGCGUAAAGCGCACGCAGGCGGCUCGGUAGGUAGGGCAUGAAAGCUCCCGGCUUAACUGGGAGAGGCUGUCCUAAACCAUCGGGCUUGAGGGUAGGAGAGGGAAGUGGAAUUGCCGGUGUAGUGGUGAAAUGCGUAGAGAUCGGCAGGAACACCAGUGGCGUAAGCGGCUUCCUGGCCUACUUCUGACGCUCAGGUGCGAAAGCUAGGGGAGCGAACGGG